GACUUGCAAGAAAACUAUAAGCUAGGAUGAUAAAUGAUAAAUAUGAAGGUUGGAUUUAUAGAUUUGGGCGUGAUAAAAGAAAACUUUGGGCGUGAUAAAAGAAAACUUAGUUUUAAUUUUAGUUGAUAUAAUUUUCAUUCAUAACAACUAAAUAGAAAUUUAAUCAUUAACUGAACAUUUUAUUAAAUGUAAACAGAGGAUUUUAAAAUAUACAUGAACAAGUGAAAAUGGAUCAAGUGGAAGUAUAUCGAUAAAGUGAUUCAAGUGAUUAUAAAUAGAUCAAGUGGAUUAUGUGAUUGAGCUAAGCAUCUAAUACAAACACAGAGUUUUUUUGGAUCAAAUAAUUGUGCUUCCACUCAAAGGUUUGACAUAAAAUCGAGUAAAUGCUCAGAGUUUAAAUAAAAUCUCGUUAUUAUGGUUUGAAUAAACAGAUUAUUAAACAAGUUAAACAGAACUUUAAUGAAGUUUGUCGAUUCAUGAGGGAAUUUUGGUUUUGAAAUGUCUUGUUCCGCAAUAUCAAGAAUUUAAUGUUACAGAAGUUGACAUCAAUCAAAUUCAAAUCAAUAAGUGUUAAUUAAAUAGAGUGCAGCAGCCGGUUUGGAAGAACUCUUACGAUUUAGAAUAUUACGCGUUUUAAAGAAAUAGCAAUAACUUGGGUAUAAACGUAAACGAUUAUUUAAGAAGACAAUUUUUUGGUGUUCAUUGUUUAAUUCGAAUGCUCAGAAAGUUACUGAAAAUUUUUUUGGCGUUCAUCAUUUGAUUGCUCGGAAAGUUAUUAAAACUUUUCUGUGUAGUUCACAAUUAUGACCUUUAUUGCUUUCAAGUUUAUACUUUUGUAUAUAUUAUAAGUUGUUUGUUA